rnacentral:rRNA from 1 species
UAAGACGGAGGGUGCAAACGUUGUUCGGAAUUACUGGGCAUAAAGAGCACGUAGGCGGUUCGCUAAGUUGGGUGUGAAAGCCCCCGGCUCAACCGGGGAAUUGCUCCCGAUACUGGCGGACUAGAGAUCGGUAGGGGUGAGUGGAACUCCAGGUGGAGCGGUGAAAUGCGUAGAUAUCUGGAGGAACACCGGUGGCGAAAGCGGCUCACUGGACCGCAACUGACGCUGAGGUGCGAAAGCUAGGGUAGCGAACGGGAUUAGAUACCCCGGUAGUCCUAGCCGUAAACGAUGGGCACUAGACAGGGGGGACGCCUAUGAUCCUCUCUGUCGUAGCUAAUGUAUUAAGUGCCCCGCCUGGGGAGUACGCUCGCAAGGGUA